rnacentral:rRNA from 1 species
AGAGUUUGAUCCUGGCUCAGAUUGAACGCUGGCGGCAUGCCUUACACAUGCAAGUCGAACGGUAACAGGUCUUCGGAUGCUGACGAGUGGCGAACGGGUGAGUAAUACAUCGGAACGUGCCCAGUAAUGGGGGAUAGCUCGGCGAAAGCCGGAUUAAUACCGCAUACGCCUUGAGGGGGAAAGUGGGGGACCGCAAGGCCUCACGUUAUUGGAGCGGCCGAUGGCUGAUUAGCUAGUUGGUAGGGUAAAGGCCUACCAAGGCGACGAUCAGUAGCUGGUCUGAGAGGACGAUCAGCCACACUGGGACUGAGACACGGCCCAGACUCCUACGGGAGGCAGCAGUGGGGAAUUUUGGACAAUGGGGGAAACCCUGAUCCAGCAAUGCCGCGUGUGCGAAGAAGGCCUUCGGGUUGUAAAGCACUUUUGUCAGGGAAGAAAUCCUUUGGGCUAAUACCCUAGGGGGAUGACGGUACCUGAAGAAUAAGCACCGGCUAACUACGUGCCAGCAGCCGCGGUAAUACGUAGGGUGCAAGCGUUAAUCGGAAUUACUGGGCGUAAAGCGUGCGCAGGCGGUUGUGUAAGACAGGUGUGAAAUCCCCGGGCUUAACCUGGGAAUUGCAUUUGUGACUGCACGACUAGAGUGUGUCAGAGGGGGGUGGAAUUCCACGUGUAGCAGUGAAAUGCGUAGAUAUGUGGAGGAACACCAAUGGCGAAGGCAGCCCCCUGGGAUAACACUGACGCUCAUGCACGAAAGCGUGGGGAGCAAACAGGAUUAGAUACCCCGGUAGUCC